rnacentral:rRNA from 1 species
UACAGAGGUCCCAAGCGUUGUUCGGAUUCACUGGGCGUAAAGGGUGCGUAGGUGGUAGGGUAAGUCGGAUGUGAAAUCCCCGAGCUCAACUCGGAAAUGGCAUUGGAAACUACCCAACUAGGGGGUCGGAGGGGGGACUGGAAUUCUCGGUGUAGCAGUGAAAUGCGUAGAUAUCGAGAGGAACACCAGUGGCGAAGGCGAGUCCCUGGACGACUCCUGACACUGAGGCACGAAAGCUAGGGGAGCAAACAGG